rnacentral:piRNA from 1 species
CCGUGUUCAAGUUCAAAGUGUCUG